rnacentral:rRNA from 1 species
CCUACGGGUGGCAGCAGUGGGGAAUAUUGCACAAUGGGCGCAAGCCUGAUGCAGCCAUGCCGCGUGUGUGAAGAAGGCCUUCGGGUUGUAAAGCACUUUCAGCGGGGAGGAAGGCGGUGAGGUUAAUAACCUCAUCGAUUGACGUUACCCGCAGAAGAAGCACCGGCUAACUCCGUGCCAGCAGCCGCGGUAAUACGGAGGGUGCAAGCGUUAAUCGGAAUUACUGGGCGUAAAGCGCACGCAGGCGGUCUGUCAAGUCGGAUGUGAAAUCCCCGGGCUCAACCUGGGAACUGCAUUCGAAACUGGCAGGCUAGAGUCUUGUAGAGGGGGGUAGAAUUCCAGGUGUAGCGGUGAAAUGCGUAGAGAUCUGGAGGAAUACCGGUGGCGAAGGCGGCCCCCUGGACAAAGACUGACGCUCAGGUGCGAAAGCGUGGGAAGCAAACAGGAUUAGAUACCCUGGUAGUC